UCUAAUGUGGCAGAUUAGUGCAAUGGAUUUAAGCUCCAAAUAUAAAGUAAUUUAACUUUUAUUAGAA
rnacentral:tRNA from 1 species